UAUGCAGAACCUACAAAAAUGGAGGAUUGGACCAUUAAUUCAAAAGAAUCAUAAAAGUGGAGGAUAAGACCAUUAUCCAAAAGAAUUCAAUAAGUUGCACUAACCAUACACUGAAGGCAUUGAAGACCGCGCCAACCAGUAUAGGAACGCAAGCCAAAAAAAGAACAUCUAGAUAUGGAUACAAAAGUAUUUAUCUACAGUUGCAUGGAUCAUCGACCAAUAAUGUAACUAG
rnacentral:misc_RNA from 1 species